CGGAAAAUAGCUCAAAAGGAAGAGCAUCCGCUUUGGGAGCGGAAGGUUAUGAGUUCAAGCCUCAUUUUUCCGA
rnacentral:tRNA from 1 species